AGGUGGGCACUCCUGAGGCUGCAGAGCGGAAGAGACCACCAACACUGCCCAACCCUGCCCACAUCCCUGGCCCAAGAGGAAACUGUAUACGGCCUCUGGGUUCCCGUAGAGGAGGGCCCAGGAGCAGCAGGUCUGCUGUGUCUGAGACACCACCAGAACCUGAAGGGACCAACCAGAUAAACAGUUCUCUGCACCCAAAUCCCAUGGGAGGGAGAGCUAAACCUUCAGAGAGGCAGACACGCCUGGGAAACCAGAAGAGACUGCACUCUGCACACAUUACUGAUUCCAGAGGAAAACACCAAACGCCAUCUGGAACCCUGGUGCACGGAAGCUCCUGGAAAGGGCAGCAGAGAUCUUCCUGGUGGCUGCCGCCACAGAGAGCUCAUAAGCAACACCCCACGAGCAAACUUGAGCUUUGGGACCACAGGUAAGACCAACUUUUCUGCUGCAAGCGACCUGCCUGGUGAACUCAAGACACAGGCCCACAGGAACAGCUGAAGACCUGUAGAUAGGAAAAACUACACGCCCGAAAGCAGAACACUCUGUCCCCAUAACUGGCUGAAAAAAAAACAGGAAAA
rnacentral:lncRNA from 1 species